CACACACAUACCCUCAUUGUCCCUAUCCCUUUCUCAGUCUCUUUCCCUGUCCCUCUCUCUCUCUCCCGAGUCUCUAUCCUUCUUCUUCUUCAAACUUGUACGGACACACACACAACUACACUAAAACAUCACAGAUCGAGGAAACUAAGGACACCUUCGAACUCGUGAAGCUCGUGUGAGUACAACCAUACCAUUUGCAGCUUGUAGAUGUGUUGGUGAGGUCCCAAGGAGCUUGGGAGUGCAUCGUUGGACGGAAUUGGACGUCGGAAUCACGAACUGUGACACGUAUCCCGAGGACGAGCGUGCACACUCGAGGCAGGGGGGCUACGACCC